GAUGAACGCUAGCUACAGGCUUAACACAUGCAAGUCGCGGGGCAGCAUGGGGGUUGCUUGCAAUCCCCGAUGGCGACCGGCGCACGGGUGAGUAACGCGUAUCCAACCUGCCCUUCACCACGGGAUAACCCGGCGAAAGUCGGACUAAUACCGUAUGUUGUCCAUUGACGGCAUCCGAUUUGGGCGAAAGGCUUGGCGGUGAGGGAUGGGGAUGCGUCCGAUUAGCCAGACGGCGGGGUAACGGCCCACCGUGGCUACGAUCGGUAGGGGUUCUGAGAGGAAGGUCCCCCACACUGGAACUGAGACACGGUCCAGACUCCUACGGGAGGCAGCAGUGAGGAAUAUUGGUCAAUGGGCGUAAGCCUGAACCAGCCAAGUAGCGUGCAGGAUGACGGCCCUAUGGGUUGUAAACUGCUUUUAUGCGGGGAUAAAGUGGCCCACGUGUGGGCUUUUGCAGGUACCGCAUGAAUAAGGACCGGCUAAUUCCGUG
rnacentral:rRNA from 1 species